rnacentral:rRNA from 1 species
UACGGAAGGUUCGGGCGUUAUCCGGAUUUAUUGGGUUUAAAGGGAGCGUAGGCCGGAGAUUAAGUGUGUUGUGAAAUGUAGACGCUCAACGUCUGACUUGCAGCGCAUACUGGUUUCCUUGAGUACGCACAACGUUGGCGGAAUUCGUCGUGUAGCGGUGAAAUGCUUAGAUAUGACGAAGAACUCCGAUUGCGAAGGCAGCUGACGGGAGCGCAACUGACGCUUAAGCUCGAAGGUGCGGGUAUCAAACAGG